AUUGAACGCUGGCGGCAGGCCUAACACAUGCAAGUCGAACGGUAACAGGAAGCAGCUUGCUGCUUUGCUGACGAGUGGCGGACGGGUGAGUAAUGUCUGGGAAACUGCCUGAUGGAGGGGGAUAACUACUGGAAACGGUAGCUAAUACCGCAUAACGUCGCAAGCCCAAAGAGGGGGACCUUCGGGCCUCUUGCCAUCGGAUGUGCCCAGCUGGGAUUAGCUAGUAGGUGGGGUAACGGCUCACCUAGGCGACGAUCCCUAGCUGGUCUGAGAGGGUGACCAGCCACACUGGAACUGAGACACGGUCCAGACUCCUACGGGAGGCAGCAGUGGGGAAUAUUGCACAAUGGGCGCAAGCCUGAUGCAGCCAUGCCGCGUGUAUGAAGAAGGCCUUCGGGUUGUAAAGUACUUUCAGCGGGGAGGAAGGGAGUAAAGUUAAUACCUGUGCUCAUUGACGUUACCCGCAGAAGAAGCACCGGCUAACUCCGUG
rnacentral:rRNA from 1 species